ACGCUCGACACCUACGGGAGACAGCAGUGGGGAAUAUUGCACAAUGGGGGAAACCCUGAUGCAGCGACGCCGCGUGAAGGAAGAAGUAUCUCGGUAUGUAAACUUCUAUCAGCAGGGAAGAAAAUGACGGUAUCUGACUAAGAAGCCCCGGCUAACUACGUGCCGGCAGCCGCGGUAAUCUGAGCGGGCUGGCAAGGC
rnacentral:rRNA from 1 species